UGUCUAGUAAAGAUAUUUUGAUAUUCUUGAGGAGAAGCAUCAUAUGUCAAGAGUGAAAUGUAGAUGAAGUUGAUCAUUUUAAGCUGUUUUCUAAAUGACAUAUGAAAAGAGAAACAGAGAGAAAGCAUAGAUACCAUACAGUUGCCUGGGCCCACCUGUCAGCAUUAAUAAUAAAUACAAGAACAUAUGACGAUAUCGGCAAACAUGCUUGAGAACUUGACUGAAUGUGGAUAUCCUCCCGUCACUAUGUUUUAAGUAUAUCACGUGAAAAAUAAUCAACCAUUGAUUCCUGGAAAUGGCCACAUUGGUACGAACUGGUAUGCAGGGCAUCCUGCACAGCUAUUUUGUAUAUCUUUCUUAUCUUUUCUGAACCUAUUUCCUGCACUGCAAAGAAACUGACACAGGAUGCUUAUGAAACAAGAUUUAAUUUUUCAGUCCACAUAUGUGACAGCUGAACAUCGAAAAGCCCCUAGAUUUCACAGAAGUAAAUUUUAGUAUUUUUCUAAUGGAAACCCCCAUGGUAUGCAGGGUUCUUAUAAACUGCAUUGGAAUUCUAUUAUUAAAGUCAGUCACAUAACUUCUUACCCAGCUUACUGCCUUCAAAGUCUCUUUUCACAUUUUUCACUUUGGCACAAAAUGUUGUACUACGAAGUGAUCUUGAAACAUUUUAACUUGAAAAACCCUUAAAUAGUUCUGUAAACUAUUACCCAAUUCUCUACACCAAAAUUUACAAAAUGCACUUGAAAUAAUCAUAUAAUAGAUGACUUUGAAAUCCAAAAAUUAGAGUUAUUUUUAAACAGGGAUAUUCAAUGAGGCAUUCAACUCACAAGCCAAGUCCCAAAAAUCUCAUAGGAUGAUACAUUGUCAUUCUAAUUUCGAACUGAAAAGGCUACCUUCUGAAUCAUACUUGAAAAUGAGAUAAAUGCCUUAAUAUGCUGUUAAAAGCUACAGUCUUCAUACACUGAUAAAAAUUUCUGUGAGAAGAACAGCCAAGGGAAAGAAAGCAAUUGAUUAAGUUGAUGGAGGGAGAAAUAAUGAAACAAAACAAACAAAAAAUGUAUAGCCCUGGAAGAUAAUUUACCAGGAAAGACCUUUGAUUAUGAGCUAUGGGCUCCAUAAACGUGAGAGAAGUUCCAAAUCAGAUUUCAACUUGGGAAAGACACAAAUGCAAAAAAAGAAGCCACAAGGGUAACUCUUGUGACGACCAAAAUAGGGGAAUAACUUGAUUUGAAUGAGAAAGGUUCUCUCUGUGUGGAAAGGAGUUCUUCUAGGUGCAACAUGCUCAAUACACUUAGAGGAAAUGGCACCUUGAAGUAAUGAUAGCUUUAGUCAUAUGAAGCAGCAACUUUGAGAAGCAGCUUAAAACAAUGAAACAAGCAUGAAUUUGAAGUCGGGCUUAAGUUCUAUUCCAAGUUUUGACACUUCUAGUUAGAAAAGUUUAUCUCUUUUAAACUCAGUUGUCAAAUUUGUUAAAUGGGGAUAGUGAAAUUUGUCUCAAAGGAUUACGGUAAAGAUUAGACCAAGUAAUCUAAAACAUCUAAGAUGGUUUUAUAUUUGUUAUCUUAGCGUAUUUAUUAUUAGCUAUGAUUAUCACCUUUAUCAGUAGUGUAAAAAUGCUUCUACACCAGGACCGGGCACGGUGGCUCAUGCCUGUAAUCCCAGCACUUUGGGAGGCCAAGGUGGGCAGAUCACAAGGUCAGGAGAUGGAGACCAACCUGACCAACAUGGUGAAACCCCAUCUCUCCUAAAAAUACAAAAAAUAAAUAAAUAAAUAGUGGGGCGUGGUGGUGCGCGCCUGUAGUCUCAGCUACUCGGGAGGCUGAGGCAGGAGAAUGGCUUGAACCUGGGAGGCAGAGGUUGUAGUGAGCCAAGAUCGUGCCACUGCACUCCAGCCUGGGCAACAAAGUGAGACUCCAUCUCAAAAAAAAAAAAAAAUGCUUCUACACCAAGUCUGAAGGAAAACAUUGGCCAUAAGUGCUUCCAAGGGUGAUUUUAAUCACUGGCAUGUAUGACAAAUGAAAAACUGGCACAGAGAGUUGUGCCUGCAUGAGCAUAGCAGGAAGUCUCCUGAUAAUCAGCCUGUUCUAGAUCACUUUACUUCCCCUAGUUUAUUCCUCCUAGAUUACCCCUCGAAGGGUCACUAUAUUAAAUCAGUCUCUUGAAAGUUAUUUUUAUUUUCAGAUGCCUGUACUACAGUAAGAUUCUUUUCUUUUUAAUUGGUCAAACCACUGCAAUACAUAAUGUGUUAUUUCCAACCAUGUAAGAAGGGGAAAUUGGUAUAUGUUAACAAUAUUAAUGAAUUUCUAGAUCUGUCUGUGACACAACCAAACUUGAAAGUUAUCAUUUGACAUAAGUAUGCUAACAAAGCAAGUAGUACUUCCUUAAUCAUUUUUAGGGUUUUGAAUAAUGGAAAGUGUGGUCUAGAGGUUAGGACAAGUGGUUGGAAGUCAUGCUCCCAAGAGCUGUCUCUUGCUCUGACAGUGACGCACUGGUUGACGCUAGACUAGACGGUUGACCAGCUAUGAGCCAAUCCGUUUAUUUCAAUUACUUCUUUUCAGCCUCAAAUGCCAUCACUCUAAAGACAAAGUCUAAUAGUGUAACUUUAAAACUACAAAUCAAAGUUAUUUGAUAAUCUAUAUAAUCAUUAUAUUAUAUUCAUGAAGAAAUGCAAUAAGAUCAGCAUACUAGUGCUCUGCAAGUCAAUUUAUAGUCAAAUAAACAUAUAAAUGAAGAAUAAAUUUUGAUAUGAAUGAGCUGUCAACAUGUAAUAUCAAAGCAGGAAAAACUUAUGGCUAGAAAAGAAUUAUAUCAACAUAAAAAUGACACAAAAAUUAUGGUCACUGAAUGUAGGCUGUCACCAAGCUGAAGAUUUCUCUUUUCAAAGACUUACUUUCCAGGACUCACAAGAUUUUAGAUAAUAAAGAAUAGUGAUCCCUGUGAGAUAGGAAACAACCAAAGUGAGCCUAUGAUUACACAAUUUACUGCCUGGGAAGAGUGUCUAGCCUACUGUGUUGGGUAAAGAAACCCAGGGAGAGUCCAGCAGUCUCUGUAAGUUGAAGAGGCAAAAGCUGGGACUUCAAGGAAACUAAAGCAGAUAGAAUCUGCAGGAAAAAAUUCAAGAAAAGAACAUGCUACAGAGAUAAAUGACUGUAGAGUUUGUAGAGGGUUCCACUUCAGUAUUCAGUUGAAUACUGAUUAGCAUUUGUUUGUGACAAAACUACCAGGGGCCAAGGAAAAAAAUGACUAGAAAGAAUCAGAAGGAACAAUGCUUAGACAUCACACAGGGAUGGGAUUAAUCCCAAAAGCCAGAGUGAAAAACCUAAAAUUUAAAAAGUAUUAGGGAGAGUACUAAGAAGGGCUUUGCCUCACUACUGGGAAAAUUAACCUUUGACAAAAUAUUGCAUUGAUCCCACUUCACAAAACUUGAUUUGAAAAAAUAAAAAUAUUUUCUAGUAACUGAACCUUAUCUCAGAAAUAAGGACAAGAAUAUUUAUAGGAAUGUGAAGUACCUAGUAUUUGAAAAAAUAAAAUACACAAUUUCUGCCAUUCAAUCAAAAAUUGUCAGGCAUGCAAAGAAGCCUAGAACAUACAACCUAUAAUGAAGAGGAUAAUCAAUCAACUGAAACUUCUGAAGAAAUAAUACAGAUAAUAUAAUUAGUAGACAAGAAUAUUAAAACAGUUAUUAUAACUACAUCUCAUAUGCUCAAGAAUUUAGAAAAAAAGAUUGAGCAUGGUAAGUAAAGUAAUGGAAGAUAUAAAAAGACACAAUCAAACUUCUAAAGAUGAAAACUACGACGUCUAAAAUUAAAAAUGCACUGGAUAAGAUAAAUGUCAUAUUGGACACUGCGGAAGAAAACGUUACAGAACUUGAAGACACAGCAAAAGAAACCACCCAAAUGGAACACAGAGGGAAAAAUCACUCAAAAAAAGAAAGAAAGAAAGAAAGAAAGAAAGAAAGAAAGAAAGAAAGAAAGAAAGAAAGAAAGAAAGAAAGAAAGAAAGAAAAAGAAAGAAAGAAAGAGAGAGAGGAAGGGAGAGAGGAAGGGAGGGAGGGAGGGAAAGACAAAGAAAAUUUUUGAAAAAACCAACUAGCAGUGAUCUGUGGAGUAAAUUUAAGCAACCAAAUAUAUAUGUGAUUGAAGUCUCUAAAGGAGAGAAGGGGGGAGGCAACAGGAAGAAUAUUUGAAGAAAUAAUUGGUAAAAAAUUUUGUAAAUUUGAUUAAAAGUAUAAGACCAUAAAGUGAUAUAAUAUCACUUGAAGGCAGACACUCAUAUGUUAAGGAUGUUAACUAUAAACCCUAAAGUCAACACUGAUUUUUUUUUUAAAAAGAAUUACAGCUAAGCAGCCAACAAAAGAAGUGAUGUUGAAAUCAUAAAAAAGGCAGAAUUAAUCCAAAAUAAGCCAGAAAAAGAGAACAAAAAAUAGAUGAGACAAAUAGAAAACAAAUAGCAAAAUGGUAGAUUUAACUACAACCAUAUCAAUAACUGAAUUAAAUAUAAAUAAUCUAAGCACCCCAAAUAAAAAGCAGAGCCCAUCAGAUUGUACUGAAAAGCUAGGUCCAACUACAUAAGGCCUUCAAGAAACACAUUUUUAAAAUAAAUACAUAAAAUGGGUAAAAAUAAGAUGAUACAGGAAAAAUAUCAUGUUAAUACCAACCUAAAGAAAACAGUUCUGGCUAUAUUAACGUCAGACAAAGCAGAUUUCAGAGCAGAGAAUAUUACAGGGAUGAAGAAGGUCAUUUCAUAAUGAUAGAGAUGAUUUGAUCCAAAGGGGCUAAAAUUAAAAUAUGUAUGCCACUAAUAAGAGAGCUUCAAGAUAAAGGAGGCAAAAACUGAUAAAACUGUAAGAUACAAAUUUACAAUUAUAGUUGGAAAUUUCAAUAUCUUCUCUAAGUAAUUGGAUGACUAAUUAAAUAGUUAAUUAGUAAAAUAUAAAAGACUUAACAUUAUCAACCAACUGGAGUUGUCAUUUAUAGAACAUUCCAUAUAACAACAGUAGACUAUACAUGCAUGCCUCGGAGAUAUUGCAGGUUCAGUACCAGAAUAUCACAAUAAAGACUGUAUCACAAUAAAAAGAGUCUCACGAAAUUUGUUGUUUUCCAGUGCAUUGCAAAAGUUAAGUUUAUACUAUAUUGGAGCCUAUUAACCGUGUGAUGGCAUUAUGUCUAAAAAGCAAUGUACAUACUCUGAUUUAAAGACUUUAUUGCUAAAAAAUGCUAGCAAUCAUUUGAGCCCUCAGUGAGUCAUCAUCUUUUUGCUGGUGGAGGGUCCUGCCUUGACGCUGAUGGCUGCUGGCUGACCAGGGUGGUGGUUACUAAAGGUUGAGGUGGCUGCAGCAAUUUCUUAAAAUAAGACAAAAGUGAAGUUUGCUGCAUUGAUUGACUCUUCCUUUCAUGAAAGAUUUCCUUGUAGCACGUGAUAGCAUUUUAUCACUGUAGAACUUCUUUUACAAGUCAGUCAUCUCAAAUCCUGCUCCUGCUUUAUCAACUAAGCUUAAGUUAUAUUCUAAAUCCUUUGUUGUUAUUUCAGCGGCGUUCACAACAUCUUCACUAGGAGUAGAUUCUACCUCAAGAAGCCACUUUCUUUGCUCAUCCAUAAGAAGCAACUCCUUGUUCAUUCAAGUUUUAUCAUGAGAUGGAGCAAUUCAGUCACAUCUUCAGGCUCCAAUUCUAAUUCUAGUUCUCUUGGAAUUUCCACCACUUCUGCAGUGACUCAACUUCUUCCAAAAUCCUGUUAUUACUGAUAUUUUAACCUCCUCUUAUGAAUCACAGAUGUUCUCAAUGGCAUCUAGAAUGGUGAAUCCUUCCCACAAUGUUUUCAAUUUACUUUGUCCAGGUCCACCAGAGGAAUCAGUAUCUCUGGCAGCUAUAGUCCUGUGAAAUAUAUUUCUUAAAUAAUAAGACUUGAAAAUUGGAAUUACUACUUGGUCCAUGGGGUAUAGAAUAAAUGUUGUAUUAGCAGGCAUGUAAACAGCAUUAAUCUCCUUGUACAUCUCCAACAGAGCUCUUCGGUGACUAGGAACGUUGUGAAGGAGCAGUAAUAUUUUGAUAAAAAUCUUUUUUCUAAGCACUAGGUCUCAAUGGUUGGCUUAAAUUAUUCAGUAAGCCAUGCUGUAAACAGAUGAACUGUCAUCCAGGCUUUGUUUUUCCAUUUCUAGAGCACAGUCAGAGUACAUUUAGUAUAAUUCUUAAAAGCCCUAGGGUUUUCAAAAUGGUAAAUGAGCAUUGGCUUUAACUUAAAGUCACCAUCUGCAUUAGUCCCUCACAAAAGACUCAGCCUGUCCUUUGAAGCUUUGAAGCCAGGCAUUGACUUACCCUCUCUAAGUAGGAAAGUCCUAGAUGGCAUCUUCUUCCAAUAUAAGGCUGUUCUGUCUACACUGAAUAUCUAUUAUUUAGUGUAGCCAUUCUCUUAAAUGAUCUUCAGUAGAUGCUCUGGAUAACUUGCUGAAGCUUUUACACCAGCACUUGCUGCUUCACCUUGCACUUUUAUGUUAUAGAGAUGGCUUCUUUCCUUAAAUGUCAUGAACCAACCUCUGCUAGGUUCCAACUUUUCCUCUGUAGCUGCACCUCUCGGCUUCAUAGAUUUGAAGAGUUACGGCCUUGCUCUGGAUUAGGGUUUGGUUUAAAGAAAUGUUGUGGCUGCUUUGAUCUUCUCUCCAGACCACUAAAACUUUCUCCACAUCAGCAGUGAGGCUGGUUUGCCUUCUUAUCAUUUGUGUGUUAACUGGAGUAGCACUUUUAAUUUCCUUCAAGAACUUUUCCUUUGCAUUUACAACUUAGCUCACUGGUGCAAGAGGCCUAGCUUUCAGCUUAUCUCAGCUGAAAGUGACUCCUCUGGAUCUCAGCUAGACAGUGAUUCCUCUGGUGGAUCCGGGCAAAGUAAAUUGAAAACCUUGUGGAAAGGAUUCACU
rnacentral:lncRNA from 10 species